rnacentral:rRNA from 1 species
GUACACACCGCCCGUCGCUACUACCGAUUGAAUGGCUYAGUGAGGCCUCCGGAUUGACUAUCUUUGGUGUCAAAGCCGAAGACUGUUGAGAAGCUGRUCAAACUUGRUCAUUUAGAGGAAGUAAAAGUCGUAACAAGGUWUSCGUAGGUGAACCUGCAGAAGGAUCA